rnacentral:rRNA from 1 species
UACGUAGGGGGCAAGCGUUGUCCGGAUUUAUUGGGCGUAAAGAGCGUGUAGGCGGCUUUACAGGUCCGUUGUGAAAACCCGAGGCUCAACCUCGGGCCUGCAGUCGAUACGGGCAAACUAGAGUACUGCAGGGGAGACUGGAAUUCCUGGUGUAGCGGUGAAAUGCGCAGAUAUCAGGAGGAACACCGGUGGCGAAGGCGGCAUCCUGGACCAACACUGACACUGAGGAGCGAAAGCCAGGGGAGCAAACGGG